UGGGGAAUAUUGCACAAUGGGCGAAAGCCUGAUGCAGCGACGCCGCGUGAGUGAAGAAGUAUUUCGGUACGUAAAGCUCUAUCAGCAAGGAAGAAAAUGACGGUACUUGACUAAGAAGCCCCGGCUAACUACGUGCCAGCAGCCGCGGUAAUACGUAGGGGGCAAGCGUUAUCCGGAUUUACUGGGUGUAAAGGGAGCGUAGACGGUUCUGCAAGUCUGGUGUGAAAGCCCGGGGCUCAACCCCGGGACUGCAUUGGAAACUGUGGAACUAGAGUGCAGGAGAGGUAAGUGGAAUUCCUAGUGUAGCGGUGAAAUGCGUAGAUAUUAGGAGGAACACCAGUGGCGAAGGCGGCUUACUGGACUGUAACUGACGUUGAGGCUCGAAAGCGUGGGGAGCAAA
rnacentral:rRNA from 1 species